CCCUUAGAUGUUCUGGGCCGCACGCGCGCUACACUGAUGCAUUCAACGAGUCUAAAACCUGCUCUGAUAGGGGUGGGUAAUCUUUUGAAUGUGCAUCGUGAUUGGGAUAGAUGAUUGCAAUUUUUCAUCUUCAACGAGGAAUGCCUAGUAAACGCAAGUCAUCAGCUUGCAUUGAUUACGUCCCUGCCCUUUGUACACACCGCCCGUCGCUCCUACCGAUUGAAUGAUCCGAUGAAUAUCAUGGAAUGAGGAUGCAAGUAGGUUAGCCUAUCUUCAUCUUCGAGAAGUGAAGUAAAUCUUAUCAUUUAGAGGAAGGAGAAGUCGUAACA
rnacentral:rRNA from 1 species